rnacentral:rRNA from 1 species
UACAGAGGGUGCAAGCGUUGUUCGGAAUUAUUGGGCGUAAAGCGCGUGUAGGCGGCUUUGCAAGUCGGGUGUGAAAUCCCUCAGCUUAACUGAGGAAGUGCGCCCGAAACUGCAGAGCUUGAGUACCGGAGAGGAUGGCGGAAUUCCCCAAGUAGAGGUGAAAAUUCGUAGAUAUGGGGAGGAACACCGGUGGCGAAGGCGGCCAUCUGGACGGAUACUGACGCUGAGACGCGAAAGCGUGGGGAGCAAACAGG